CCCUUCUCACCAGGUUGCGCUAAGACUCCCUGUGCUGUGGUGAAUGAAGGUAAUGACACUGUAGACAACUGCUUGCAACAGCAAAGGUGAAAUCCCACGGAUGUUCACAAAUCGGACCUAUAAAAACUGUGGAAGUACCUCUCUCAUCUACGUGUAGACUGACUGUGGUUCCACUGCAAUUGGUCAAUGAGGAAAGUGAACACAAGGGCAAUGGCAAAAGUCUGAAAGUUAUAAUAAGUCUUUUCGAAACAGAUACAGAAAAUCUGAACUGAAACACCUACCCACUUUGUUUGAGGCACAGGAUAUUUUAUUUUCAAAGGCAUCAAAGGGUUUCCUUAAACUUUACCUAUGAAAAGGAAACUUGCAUGUGUACUUUUCUCUUCUCUUUCCAUUCUCUCCAUUUUGCAUAAAAUAAUAAACCUUGCAGUUUGCUAAGGAAUAGUCCAGCAAUAUUGACUAAUGACCAUAAAAUCAAGAAUUUAUCUGUACUAUGUUUUGUAACCCAAUUGGUUGUAGAAAUCAAAAAUAUUAAAUUAAUAAUAUACUC